UUUAGUUGAUGCUACCUGUGAGGGCUGAUGUGUGAGCUGAGAACACUGCCCUCUGUAGGUAGGUUGAGGGAGAGUUUCCUGGUAGAUGUGUGGUGGGACUGCUUGGUGUGUGCCGAUGUAAUGAGCUGUGUCCUGAUUUACCCUGACUGAUAUGCUCUGUAGGCUCAUGUUGAAGAGGAAAUUCAGCCUUUGACUCCCUCCCAGUGUCAGCCUGCUGACCUUCCAGGUGUCUCCUUUAAUCAGGGCCUCAGAUUGAGCGAGG